GAACGCCGUAUGAGGUGAAAGUCUCACGUACAGUGUGGAGCAGGGGAAAAUCUAGAGAUUACUUCAAAUGAUUACCUAUUGCUAU
rfam:Epulopiscium sp. AS2M-Bin002 AS2M_MBin02_70, whole genome shotgun sequence.